UAAACUUAUCUAAAUCUAGCUGUCCAACAAUUUUAAAUGAUACUUAUCAUGGGAUGCACCAAAAUGCCAUGAAGAGAACUCUUCUACUUUUUCAAAAUAUAUUCUAGAGCAGACUAUUGAAUUAAUAUAAUUAUAGAUAGAUUAUAAUAAUAGGACUAGUCACUAGAUUUGACUAGAAGAAUAGAUUGUCACUAGAUCACUAGAUCUACUACUCAGAUCUAGACUCUAGACCUAGUCUACUCUAGUAGUAGUCUCUAGUAUCAUCAAGUACUAGUAGAUCAUCUAUGACUAGGUCUAGAAAACAUAUAUGACAUGUGGCAUACAGAAAAGUUUACUAGAUGGAUCUUUCAUCAUUUUGGAAAUACAAUAUUCCCUGUGAAACAAAUCACAGAAACAUUCUACAAUUUAUUUUAUAUAAUAAAUACCAAUAAAUGUAAAUACAAAAUCACAUUUUAAUAGAGUUCUUCAUUAUACACACAACAUUAUUUUAGUAUGUUCCUUUUCACUUGCUAGGUUUAGACAAAGUUUCGAAUCAGGAUUUAAUAUUAUUAAGUCAUAGCCCAAAACUCCAGCAGGAUGUUAGUUAAUGGCAGUGGUCAAUGUUUGAACCUGAGACCACAGAGAAGACAGUUCGGAAUGCAAACCACACAACUUUCUGCGUUUCGAAACCUAUUCAAAUUUUGAUCAUUUUUAUGUUAAUGCAGAUCUGAAUGUCCAUUGCAAUGAUGACUUGAUCUGUAAAGGGUUACAUUUUUUAAAAAUAAUUUGGAUCUCAUUCUUCGAAUGAUGCUAUUUAUUAGAAAUUGCAACGUAGAAUACAUAUAAGAGGCCAAAAGAAAAUCCACUGAUGAGGGAAGACGUCGUAAAGAACAUUUAAAUUGACCACCAGCUGAAUAUGGUUAUGUCUUCGCUGGACGCUGCAAAAUAUCUAGUUAGCAGCUGGGGCUGCGUAGCCAUGGAAAAUACUGCAUUUCUCAUUAAUCUUUCGACUCGACUGCCAGCCUUAUUUAUUAAACACUUUAAAUUAUGAAUAGCUCCGCAUUUUUUAAUAACAAUAAAAAAUAUAUAUAUAUUCAGUGAUUAACUGGCAGUAAUUGAGUUACAAAAAUUUAAUAAAAUGAGUUGCAUAAUUACAUCAACAGUAGCCUAUAUGCAUUACUUAACAUUAUAUUGAUACUAUAAUUUAUUUUCUACUUCCCUGACUUCCCAGAGAAAAGAAAAAAACGACAACUCCUUCUCCAGUAGGAUAAUCUCUUUCAUUUAUAGUCUAAACACAAUUUAAAACUUUGUUACCUACAGUUACAGAUUAACUUGCUAACUUAACUAUCUAAUAAUCUAAUGAUUCUAUUCCAAUCAACAAAUGAGUCAAGCGUGAGAUAAAUGAAAACUCUUAAAUUUUUAGAUAUAUAUUUAUAGAACUAUGUAAGUAUAUAGGCCCGAAUAUACGGUACGAAUAUAUUUAAAUGAGUGUAAUAAAAUCCAUAUUUCGUAUAUUAAUAAUAUUAUAGAAUUGGUAGAUCUAGGUCUAAUUUUUGCCUUAUAGAUUAGUUUUUAGAAAUUUAGAUCUAGUACUUUUUUUACUAGUAGAUCUAAAUCAGACUACUUUUAAGUCUAAGUUAAGGUUUAAGUUAAAGCUAUUUGCCUAGUGUUGUACGGGGUUGUGACUCUAGAUUCAAACUAAAUAUAAUCGUAUACUACAAUAACUACAUUGAAUGAGCUCAACAUUCACAUUGUAAUAAUUGUUUUUUUCCCAUAUUGGGCCUAUUUAGGGACGACUAUAGGUUAAUAAUCACUAAGUGUAUAGAUAGAGUAUAUAAUUUUAAACUUUGUUUUUCUAGAUCUAGGC